UACAUGGGGUGCAAACGUUGCUCGGAAUUACUGGGCGUAAAGAGCGCGCAGGCGGUCGUUCAAGUCGAGUGUGAAAGCCCCCGGCUCAACUGGGGAGGGUCACGCGAUACUGAUCGACUCGAAGGCAGGAGAGGGUAGUGGAAUUCCCGGUGUAGUGGUGAAAUGCGUAGAUAUCGGGAGGAACGCCAGUGGCGAAGGCGACUACCUGGCCUGUUCUUGACGCUGAGGCGCGAAAGCUAGGGGAGCAAACGGG
rnacentral:rRNA from 1 species